CACGUAGGGGGCAAGCGUUGUCCGGAUUUAUUGGGCGUAAAGAGCUCGUAGGUGGUUCGGUAAGUCGGGUGUGAAACCUCCAGGCUCAACCUGGAGACGCCACUUGAUACUGCUGUGACUGGAGUCCGGUAGGGGAGCGUGGAAUUCCUGGUGUAGCGGUGAAAUGCGCAGAUAUCAGGAGGAACACCAGCGGCGAAGGCGGCGCUCUGGGCCGGUACUGACACUGAGGAGCGAAAGCGUGGGGAGCAAACAGG
rnacentral:rRNA from 1 species